rnacentral:rRNA from 1 species
GACGUAGGGGGCCAGCGUUGUUCGGAAUUACUGGGUGUAAAGGGUUCGUAGGCGGUGUGGCAAGUCGGGAGUGAAAUCUCUGGGCUCAACCCAGAGACUGCUUCCGAAACUGCUGUGCUUGAGUGUGAGAGAGGCUCGUGGAAUUCCAGGUGUAGCGGUGAAAUGCGUAGAUAUCUGGAGGAACACCGGUGGCGAAGGCGGCAUCCUGGACCGGCAUUGACGCUGAGGAGCGAAAGCCAGGGGAGCAAACGGG